rnacentral:rRNA from 1 species
AAAUUUUUUGGCUUGAGUGAAGGAGGAGGGCCAAAGUGGGAUUUCUUAGUGUAGCGGUGGAAAAUGGGUAGAUAUUUAGGAGGAAUACCAGCGGCGAAGGCGACUUGCUGGACUUCAACUGACGCUGAGGAACGAAAGCGGGGGGAGCAAACAGGAUUAGAUACCCUGGUAGUCCACGCCGUGAACGAUGAGUGCUAGGUGUCGGGGGUCAUACCUCGGUGCCGGAGCUAACGCAUUAAGCACUCCGCCUGGGGAGUACGUACGCAAGUAUGAAACUCAAAGGAAUUGACGGGGACCCGCACAAGCAGCGGAGCAUGUGGUUUAAUUCGAAGCAACGCGAAGAACCUUACCAGGACUUGACAUAUUAGUGACCGGUGUAGAGAUACACUUUUCCUUUCGGGGACACUAUUACAGGUGGUGCAUGGUUGUCGUCAGCUCGUGUCGUGAGAUGUUGGGUUAAGUCCCGUAACGAGCGCAACCCUUGUCUUUAGUUGCCAGCAAGUAAUGUUGGGCACUCUAGAGAGACUGCCGUUGACAAAACGGAGGAAGGUGGGGAUGACGUCAAAUCAUCAUGCCCUUUAUGUCCUGGGCUACACACGUGCUACAAUGGUCGGUACAACGAGCAGCUACACAGCGAUGUGACGCGAAUCUCUUAAAGCCGAUCCCAGUUCGGAUUGUAGGCUGCAACUCGCCUACAUGAAGUCGGAGUUGCUAGUAAUCGUGGAUCAGAAUGCCGCGGUGAAUGCGUUCCCGGGUCUUGCACACACCGCCCGUCA